CGCAAGGGGGUUUUUGUUGGUUCCUGCAAAUUGCAGGCGAAGAGGGAAUGUGACAGGCUGAUAGGGAUUUUUGCUAUCAGCUCUCAAGCACAGCCGCCCCCGCGACCGUGACCGGAAAGGUCUCUGAUGCCACUGGCCCACCGUGCCGGGAAGGCAAGAGCACCGCAGACAGGCAUCGCCCGUCGAAAUCCGCAAGCCGGGAGACCUGCCAACGCAUGAGACAACGAG
rnacentral:ncRNA from 18 species